rnacentral:rRNA from 1 species
CGCGGCCUAUCAGCUUGUUGGUGGGGUAAUGGCCUACCAAGGCGACGACAGGUAGCCGGCCUGAGAGGGCGACCGGCCACACUGGGACUGAGACACGGCCCAGACUCCUACGGGAGGCAGCAGAGGGGAAUAUUGCACAAUGGGCGAAAGCCUGAUGCAGCGACGCCGCGUGAGGGAUGACGGCCUUCGGGUUGUAAACCUCUUUCAGCAGGGACGAAGCGUAAGUGACGGUACCUGCAGAAGAAGCGCCGGCCGACUACGUGCCAGCAGCCGCGGUAAGACGUAGGGCGCGAGCGUUGUCCGGAUUUAUUGGGCGUAAAGAGCUCGUAGGCGGCUUGUCGCGUCGACUGUGAAAACCCGCAGCUCAACUGCGGGCCUGCAGUCGAUACGGGCAGGCUAGAGUUCGGUAGGGGAGACUGGAAUUCCUGGUGUAGCGGUGGAAUGCGCAGAUAUCAGGAGGAACACCGGUGGCGAAGGCGGGUCUCUGGGCCGAUACUGACGCUGAGGAGCGAAAGCGUGGGGAGCGAACAGGAUUAGAUACCCUGGUAGUCCACGCUGUAAACGUUGGGCGCUAGGUGUGGGGGACCUCUCCGGUUCUCUGUGCCGCAGCUAACGCGUUAAGCGCCCCGCCUGGGGAGUACGG